rnacentral:rRNA from 1 species
UAGGGAAUCUUCGGCAAUGGACGAAAGUCUGACCGAGCAACGCCGCGUGAGUGAAGAAGGUUUUCGGAUCGUAAAACUCUGUUGUUAGAGAAGAACAAGGACGUUAGUAACUGAACGUCCCCUGACGGUAUCUAACCAGAAAGCCACGGCUAACUACGUGCCAGCAGCCGCGGUAAUACGUAGGUGGCAAGCGUUGUCCGGAUUUGUUGGGCGUAAAGCGAGCGCAGGCGGUUUCUUAAGUCUGAUGUGAAAGCCCCCGGCUCAACCGGGGAGGGUCAUUGGAAACUGGGAGACUUGAGUGCAGAAGAGGAGAGUGGAAUUCCAUGUGUAGCGGUGAAAUGCGUAGAUAUAUGGAGGAACACCAGUGGCGAAGGCGGCUCUCUGGUCUGUAACUGACGCUGAGGCUCGAAAGCGUGGGGAGAAAACAGG